rnacentral:rRNA from 1 species
GACGUAGAGGGCGAGCGUUCUCCGGAUGUAUUGGGCGUAAAGCGCACGCAGGCGGUUCUGCACGUGUGGGGUAACAGCUCCUGGCUUCACCAGGAGAAGCCUCCACAAACGGGAGAACUUGAGGACGAGAGAGGGACAUGGAAUUCCAGGUGAAGCAGUGAAAUGCGUAGAUAUCUGGAGGAACACCAAAGGCGAAGGCAGUGUCCUGGCUCGUAUCUGACGCUCAGGUGCGAAAGCCAGGGGAG